UACGGUAGGCAGCGAGCGUUGUUCGGAGUUACUGGGCGUAAAGGGUGUGUAGGCGGUUGUUUAAGUUUGGUGUGAAAUCUCCCGGCUCAACUGGGAGGGUGCGCCGAAUACUGAAUGACUAGAGUGCGGGAGAGGAAAGUGGAAUUCCUGGUGUAGCGGUGAAAUGCGUAGAUAUCAGGAGGAACACCGGUGGUGUAGACGGCUUUCUGGACCGUAACUGACGCUGAGACACGAAAGCGUGGGUAGCAAACAGG
rnacentral:rRNA from 1 species